rnacentral:rRNA from 1 species
UACGUAGGGUGCGAGCGUUGUCCGGAAUUCUUGGGCGUAAAGAGCUCGUAGGCGGUUUGUCGCGUCGACUGUGAAAACCUACAGCUUAACUGUGGGCUUGCAGUCGAUACGGGCAGACUUGAGUUCGGUAGGGGAGACUGGAAUUCCUGGUGUAGCGGUGAAAUGCGCAGAUAUCAGGAGGAACACCGGUGGCGAAGGCGGGUCUCUGGGCAGUAACUGACGCUGGGGAGCGAAAGCGUGGGGAGCGAACAGG